rnacentral:snoRNA from 1 species
UUACCAAAAGUUAAUGUUUUCAGGGAAUGUUUUGUUAAAAAACCUUCACCAACUUGGGCUAUUUGGGAUAAUAAUGUUGAUCACCUUCCACGGUGGGUUAUAACAUUAAUAUAUACAUAUUAUUCACUACUAGUUUGUACUGUACAUU